rnacentral:rRNA from 1 species
GAUGAACGCUGGCGGCGUGCCUAAUACAUGCAAGUCGAGCGAACAGACGAGGAGCUUGCUCCUCUGACGUUAGCGGCGGACGGGUGAGUAACACGUGGAUAACCUACCUAUAAGACUGGGAUAACUUCGGGAAACCGGAGCUAAUACCGGAUAAUAUAUUGAACCGCAUGGUUCAAUAGUGAAAGACGGUUUUGCUGUCACUUAUAGAUGGAUCCGCGCCGCAUUAGCUAGUUGGUAAGGUAACGGCUUACCAAGGCAACGAUGCGUAGCCGACCUGAGAGGGUGAUCGGCCACACUGGAACUGAGACACGGUCCAGACUCCUACGGGAGGCAGCAGUAGGGAAUCUUCCGCAAUGGGCGAAAGCCUGACGGAGCAACGCCGCGUGAGUGAUGAAGGUCUUCGGAUCGUAAAACGCUGUUAUUAGGGAAGAACAAAUGUGUAAGUAACUAUGCACGUCUGGACGGUACCUAAGCAGAAAGCCACGGCUAACUACGU